rnacentral:rRNA from 1 species
GGAGGAAAGCAGGGGAUCGAAAGACCUUGCGCUUUGGGAGCGGCCGAUGUCUGAUUAGCUAGUUGGUGGGGUAAAGGCCUACCAAGGCGACGAUCAGUAGUUGGUCUGAGAGGACGACCAGCCACACUGGGACUGAGACACGGCCCAGACUCCUACGGGAGGCAGCAGUGGGGAAUUUUGGACAAUGGGCGCAAGCCUGAUCCAGCAAUGCCGCGUGAGUGAAGAAGGCCUUCGGGUUGUAAAGCUCUUUCAGUCGAGAAGAAAAAGCUGCAGUGAAUAACUGUAGUUCAUGACGGUAUCGACAGAAGAAGCACCGGCUAACUACGUGCCAGCAGCCGCGGUAAUACGUAGGGUGCGAGCGUUAAUCGGAAUUACUGGGCGUAAAGGGUGCGCAGGCGGCUUUGUAAGUCAGAUGUGAAAUCCCCGGGCUUAACCUGGGAAUUGCGUUUGAAACUACAAAGCUAG